AGAACGGAAGCUGGAUGGGUCAAAUCGGAAAUAUUGGAUUGCAGCCAACUCCUGGGGCAAGGCGUGGGGUGAGCACGGCUACUUCCGCAUUGCCAGAGGGACCAAUGAGUGCGAGAUCGAAUCCUUCGUGGUGGGUGUCUGGGGCCGGGUUGGAAUGGAAGAUAUGCACCACCACAAGAAAUGAGGAGAUUGGAUCCUUCAGCCUUGCAUUAUGAUACCAAGAAGAACUUCUUUCCUUCUGUUGGCCCUAUGUUUUCUUCUCCUCCUCAAAGCAUCUGGUAUCUAGAACAGUCACAGAACGUAACGACUAUGGGUUUGGCCUCCAAAGACAGCAGCCUUUGUCUUUGUUCUGGGGAAGCCUAGAACCAUCAUGUGGAUUUUGGACCCAGAAAGUCCUUCCUCAAAUGGGGGGAAAACCCAGAGAACUUCUGAAAUGACUACCAAAAUGCCUACAGUUUCUUGAAAGGGACCAAGAGAAGACACCCAAUUUUGUUCUGCAUGGCUCAGAUGCUCACAACCAGAGUGAUCCUGGAGAUAUCAGAAGCAAACCUUGCCAGGAUUCUCUACCAAGGAUGGAAAGUUGAUCUGAAGUAACUUUCUGACUGGGAGACCAACCAACAUUUUUGGUUGUUUUUUUUUAGUGCUUUCUGUGAUUCCACUUGACAGAACUUUCUUGGAAGUGAUGCCAUCUCUGGUCUGACCUUCCCCAGAGGCAACCAUGGUAAAAUAAAAAGGGCCAAAUUUUUAAACA